UUGUUUUCUUUUUUUAAAUCUCCACCAGACAGCGCAACGAUAGACACUUCUAGAUUUCUAUUGGUUCCCCACCCUUCUCAAAUUAUCUGCAGGUUGGCAUCACUGACUACAUAUGGGUUGUGUUUC